GUUGUGUGUAUGUGUGUAUAAACUCCAAUGGAGAAAGAUGAGAGCUUAGUUCUAGGUGAUUUAAGAACAGAGAUGGGUGAGAGUGUUUAAGUGUUUAAGAGACUAAAGAGAAUGAGAUUAAGAGACUGAGAGACUAGAGAGAGACUGAGAGAAUAAGAGACUGAAGAUUAGGGAAGGAGAAGGGAAACCCCCUUACUCACUUAGUUCAUACAAAAUGCCACAUAUAAGCUUAUAUAUGCUCUUACAAGAUGCAAAUCAUAAACCUAAAUCUAAUGGCUGAUAUAACUUGAAUUUAAAUGGAUGGAUAGGAUGGAGAGUAAGGCUGGUCGUGAUUCUUCAUUGGCUGUGCUCUUGUUGCUUCAUUAUUGGCUCAUUUGAAUCUGGUCAAUGUGGAGACUGGUGCCUGAUUGGUUGCUGUAAGGCUCCCUUGAACUUUCCCAUAUAUCAGACUAGAUACAUGGUCAAUACACAGCUCUUGGCCAGCCUGUUCCAGCCUGUCUUUGGCGCCAGCUUCCUUCUUUUGUCUUCUUCUCUUAAGAGCUUACCUCUGCCCUAUUUUUGCACCAACCUCAAAUGUGCUCCAAUGGUCGACUGGUGAACUUUCGAGAUGUCUCGGUCCGUACGGAUCCGUACGGUCCGUACAACGUCCGUACCAAAUCCGUACGGCCAGUCCCUAAGUUUGCACACUUGCCCAAAUACUCUUCUAAGUCCCUCCUGGACUUGGCCCUAUCUUUGCACAACCAUCAGAUCACUUCUGGACACAAAGAGACACUCCUGAAGCUUGAUAGACAAUCCCUAAAGGACUUGCCCUAUCUUUGUACCAGACCUAACUCCUCCAUACUUCUCCUUUCACUCCAUUUCUAUUCUUCAAGUUAACACAAGCUCUAUCUUCUCUUCAGUUCAACACUCCCCCUCAAGCUUGACUUUAGGAGAUCCUAAGCCAAGCUUGGAACUCUGAAGAGUCUCCCUCAUUAAAAACCUUACAAGGAAAACCCAUUGGGACAAAACCUUGCAAGGGAAAAAGAGUAGAGCUCUCCAAAGCCUAGGGAUUGGCCAGUGAACUCUUGUGCCUUAGAACCAGUGUGGUUGGACACAAGAAGUUCUGGAUCACGGCCUAAACUGGUGCAGCAACUCAUCAAGACCUUGCGCACUAAACAACUCAGCUUCACCUCUUCAUGAAACCGGUUUGAAGUCUCCCCCUCUCAACUGACUUCACAGCCAUCUUAGAGAAGCUAGGACACGACCAGAUCAUCUUCAAAACACUAGUGAGACUUAUCAACACUUCACACAUGGCUUGCCCUCUUCAUCGACCAGGUUUGGAAUCUCCUCCUCUCAACUAACUUCACAGCCUCUUUAGAGAAGCUAAGAGAUGACCCGGAACAUCUUUAGUGAGGCUCAAGCAAUGGUACCUGAUACAUUAUCCCAAAGGUGCAUCAGUACCUAUCAAAAACAAGAAAAUGAAUAUCCUGCAUCACACUUGAUGCACACAAUCUCACAAUUCAAUCAUAAUCAUUUUACGUAUCUUUUCAAGCACAAGCAAUGAAUAAGAUGAAUAAAAAGGUUUUAAAAGUCUAAGGGAACUUCCCUUGUGUUUUUGUGAGUUUCCUAACUCGGCCAAUGCACCAUCUUCAUGGCAUCACCAACUUCUUGGAAAGGCAGAAUGGAUUCAUCAGCUUCUCCUCAAUCACCUCUCAUUGAAGCCGCAUUGAUGGAGAGCGUUCUUCUUCACUCGCCAAGACUGCUCUGAACAGCCUCUUGCCUAGACACGCCACUAUCUUGGUCCGGUUGAUGAUCCUUGUAGAAGCCUUUGCAAAGACUUGUUACUGACCAUGGAUCAUAUGCAUUAAGACUCCCCCUCAAGCUUAGAACCAAGACUAGAAGGAGCUAAGCUUGUGAUGAUCCUAUGCAUCUCCAUGGUCUAAUAACUAUCAUCUUUUAUGAUAGCUUUCUUCUUGUGAGUUUUCUCUCUUCCUUAACCAGGAAUUAGGGUGUUUGAAUCACCAUAGAGAGUCUCACAAGACACGCCUCUCAUUGCAUAAUGACCCAUGCUACACUUCCUGUAGACUAAGGACUAGAUAUGUCCAAUGGUAUUAUGCAAUGGCCAUCUCUCAUUGCAUACUCAAUCACACUACACUUCCUGUAGAUUAUGGACUAACAUGUCCUAGUGAUGAUAUGCAAUGGCACAAGAUCUUUGUCUUUACAUUCUUGGUUGUUGGCGAGUUUCAUGUAUCACAUUCCUUGUGUACCUAACACCACCACAACUCAAUGCAAGAUCAGAUCAUCCCAUUGGGAUCAAACCAAGAUUAUCCAUCCUGUUUGAUCACCAAUGCCACAAUAAUAUAGGAUACUUGAGACAAGCUAGACAAUCAAGACAAUCAAGCAAAGACAAUCAAUUCAGUUUUGUUUUUUUUUUUUUUUAAAUGCAACAAUAGAUGAAUGCAUUAGGUUACACACUAACUAUAUGAAUGAAACAGAUUCAAUCCAAAUGGAACACAAGUCUAGAUGAUACUUAUGCAAUCAAGACGACAAGAGUGACUCAAUUCAUGCUUAUGCUCACUAGUUUUUAUCAAUGCCAAUGAUCCAAAUAGCUUAGACAAACUUCUAAAUGCUUAUAAGACAUCACUGAUGGAUUUAACUAUGGCAAAGCAACAAUCAGACCUUUAGGCUCAUUUUUAAAUGCAUUACUACAUGAAUGCACAAUCUUAAAGCUUUAGCUAUAUGAAUGCAGCAGGUUCAAUCCAUGAGCAAUAUUAAGGCUAUGCACAACAGUUUCAAUCAAAACCAAUGAUGCAAGCAACUUAGACAAUUUCUAAUUGAUGCAAGACUUUCAUUGAUGGAUUAAACAUAGGCAAUAGCAUCAGAUAACAAUAGGAUUGAACUUAGACAGUAUGAGAUAUGAUUAUGUAUGCAAAAUAACUUACCAAUCAUGAUGCAAGCAGCAGAGACAUUCUACUCAAUUCUACAACACAUUCAUGAUGAUUCAAGCUAUGACAACACUCAAGACAAUGCAAUAAACAAAACAUGAGAUUCUGGGACUCUAGACAUUACUUACUAUCAAUAUGACAAUGCAACAGCAAAACAAUUUCAGUGCAAUUAGCCUAGACAUACUACUAGAAGCUAUAAACACUUAAUGGAAUUAGGGAAAGCACAUAGUAUAAUCAGGAGUUAAACCUAUCAAGACAUAUUAAGAUAGAUGAGAUUAGGUUUACUCCCUUGGUUAAGAUGAUGAGGAGUGGUUCUCAGAGUUACCACUUGAAUCCUUACUUCUUCUUCUUCUCUUAUUGCAAUCACCCUUCUGAAGUCACCACCAUGAUGGAAUGCUUGUGGAUGCUUCAGCUACUUCUUCAAUCACCUCACAAUAGAAGCCGCCUUGAUAGAGUAGCCUUCUUCUUCACACAGCCAAGAGUGCUCUGUCUUAGUUUGAGCACCCUCUUGAAUAGGCACGCCACUGCCUAGACCCGGUUGGCUUCUUCUUCUGAUACUUGCAAUGUUAAGAAGAAGAGCACGAGUGAGUUCUACAACCAUCUGUGCUUCUCCCUUUCUUGUAACACCUCUCCAUUGGACACACAAUGGGCAUCAUUCUUUCUCUUUCAACUCGGAUUUGAUGAUGAACUAGGAGCACCUUUUGUGAACCUGAAACAUCACUCAAACUCUAGCCAAGAUAAGACACAAUUGCAUUGGGAUCAAUCCUUGACUUCAUCAAGUUUGAUCACCAAUGUCUCAAGCUUUAUAACAUUAGAUAGAAUCAAGACAAUGUCAAGUUCUUAUCUAUGCAAGCAACCAUUCUCUAAAUACUAAGCAAGACCUUAUCAGAUUCAAGUCAAAGUAUUUAGGCAAUUUUAAUCACUCCUUAAUAUGCAACUUAGACUUUAAUCUAAAUGCAACAAUCCAAAGCAGCAACAAGGCAGUAUGCAUUAAUCUUAACAGUUUCUAACACAUGAAAGCAAGAAUGAUUAGAUAUAAUCUAUCAUCUUAACAAGACAAGUUAAUUUAGAGCUGUCAUUAAGCAUUUACCAUUUUCAAUAGUAUUGAUGUCAAAACUUGAUUAAUAAAUCAUCAAGUUUGAUUCCCAAUAACACAAGCAAUGCAACAGAUAGACACAAGGCAUUAUCAAGUUCUAUUCUUUGCAAGCUAGCUCUCUAAGAACAAUCAAGAUCCUAACAGAUUCAAGACAAGUUACUUAGGCAUUUUUAAAAGCUUCUUUACUCAGCAAUUUAGACAUGAAUCUAAUGCCUCAAUGGAAGACAGCCACAAGACUAUAUGCAACAGCUUUCAAUUCCGUUUCAAUCCAUGUAUGCAAGCAGAUUCAAUUAAUCACAACAAGCAUCACUAUGAUUCGGAGCUAAGCAUAUUAACAAUCUUAAUCACCAAACCAGGCUCUUUAAGCAUACUGAGACAGAUUCUAAAAGUAUUCAUUUAGCAAUCUUUAAACAAUUCUCAGGUUUUCAAUCACAUCACAACCAGUCAAUAUACUCAAGCUUUAUACAAGAGAAAGAGGUUUCUUACAGCCAAGGAACUAGUGUUAGUUCCUUGAAACUCCAUAGAACAUGGCAAGACAGUGAGCUGUUGGUGUCGAUUCCAACUUCUCCUUCUCCCAUGGACCUUUCUCUUGAACUCUCCAUGUCAAAGACCCCACCUUUCUUCAUGUUAAGUUCGCCACAUCAGUACCAGCUGAAAGCUAUCACCUUUCUUCUUGGACAGUGGAUGAGACCUAGCUUGGACAUAGCUUUGAAGCUUGGUUGAUGAGAUCGCCUCAUACACCAUUGCUUCCAAGGUUCUUUCUUCUUCAUGGGCUUCAUGAGAGAGUGUAGGUCGGCCAGAGACAGCUUCUGGACACCAUGGAUGAGCACACCUUCUUCUUGAAGAGUAGAACAACCGGCUGGACCAUGGAGCUUCUUCUUGGCUUCAAGCGACAUGGAGGAGAGCUAUGAGCUUCAGCAGAAGCAAGAACCAAGUUCUAAUGAACCUGGCUCUGAUACCAUAUGAUUUUUAAAGAGAUCUCUACUCUGGUUGUGUGUAUGUGUGUAUAAACUCCAAUGGAGAAAGAUGAGAGCUUAGUUCUAGGUGAUUUAAGAACAGAGAUGGGUGAGAGUGUUUAAGUGUUUAAGAGACUAAAGAGAAUGAGAUUAAGAGACUGAGAGACUAGAGAGAGACUGAGAGAAUAAGAGACUGAAGAUUAGGGAAGGAGAAGGGAAACCCCCUUACUCACUUAGUUCAUACAAAAUGCCACAUAUAAGCUUAUAUAUGCUCUUACAAGAUGCAAAUCAUAAACCUAAAUCUAAUGGCUGAUAUAACUUGAAUUUAAAUGGAUGGAUAGGAUGGAGAGUAAGGCUGGUCGUGAUUCUUCAUUGGCUGUGCUCUUGUUGCUUCAUUAUUGGCUCAUUUGAAUCUGGUCAAUGUGGAGACUGGUGCCUGAUUGGUUGCUGUAAGGCUCCCUUGAACUUUCCCAUAUAUCAGACUAGAUACAUGGUCAAUACACAGCUCUUGGCCAGCCUGUUCCAGCCUGUCUUUGGCGCCAGCUUCCUUCUUUUGUCUUCUUCUCUUAAGAGCUUACCUCUGCCCUAUUUUUGCACCAACCUCAAAUGUGCUCCAAUGGUCGACUGGUGAACUUUCGAGAUGUCUCGGUCCGUACGGAUCCGUACGGUCCGUACAACGUCCGUACCAAAUCCGUACGGCCAGUCCCUAAGUUUGCACACUUGCCCAAAUACUCUUCUAAGUCCCUCCUGGACUUGGCCCUAUCUUUGCACAACCAUCAGAUCACUUCUGGACACAAAGAGACACUCCUGAAGCUUGAUAGACAAUCCCUAAAGGACUUGCCCUAUCUUUGUACCAGACCUAACUCCUCCAUACUUCUCCUUUCACUCCAUUUCUAUUCUUCAAGUUAACACAAGCUCUAUCUUCUCUUCAGUUCAAC
rnacentral:lncRNA from 1 species